rnacentral:rRNA from 1 species
GACGAACGCUGGCGGCGUGCUUAACACAUGCAAGUCGAACGGAAAGGCCCUGCUUUUGUGGGGUGCUCGAGUGGCGAACGGGUGAGUAACACGUGAGUAACCUGCCCCUGACUUUGGGAUAACUUCAGGAAACUGGGGCUAAUACCGGAUAGGAGCUCCUGCUGCAUGGUGGGGGUUGGAAAGUUUCGGCGGUUGGGGUUGGACUCGCGGCCUAUCAGCUUGUUGGUGGGGUAGUGGCUUACCAAGGCUUUGACGGGUAGCCGGCCUGAGAGGGUGACCGGCCACAUUGGAACUGAGAUACGACCCAGACUACUACGGGAGGCAGCAGUGGGGAAGAUUGCACAAUGGGCGGAAGCCUGAUGCAGCAACGCCGCGUGCGGGAUGACGGGCAUCGGUUUGUAAACCGCUUUCGCCUGAGACGAAGCGUUAGUGACGGUAAUGGGUGAAGAAGCACCGGCUAACUACGUG